GUAUAGGUACGUUUUAAUGCUUAUAAUUGCGAGGUAGCCUGGUCUCGCCAAUCCGCCGGCAAUUAGCAAGACGUUCUGUAAUUGGCAGCAUAGCACCAGCACCGCAGUAUGUGGUCGACUGCAACCGUGUUAUUUUUUUGCUGCAUUCCGAUUCUCAUCGACAAAGUGCACGCCGAAAGGAAUUGCUAUGGCGAGCUCGGUUGCAUGGAGACUGGUGGCGCUUUCUACGAUCCCGUGCACCGUCCCUUUAACCUGGUUCCGGCGGACCGGCACGUGGUGAACACCAGAUUCAUCCUGCACAACCGACGCAUCGAGCCGGGCCACAUGGUACUCCUGUGGAACUCCUCCGUGGAAACAAUUAGCGCCGCGCCUUUCAUGAGCUCCCGGGAGACUAAGUUCCUCGUGCACGGCUACCUGGACAAGCUGUACUUCGCCGCCUGGUUGUCAGAUAUGAAGGACGCCUACCUGAAGCAGGCCGACGUCAACGUGAUCAUCGUCGACUGGGGCGAGGCCAACGCCGGCAUCUACGACCGCGCGUGCGCCAAUGCCAGGAUCGUCGGGGCCGAGCUCGCGCUCUUCAUCCGGAAGCUGAAGGAGGCGUUCGGCGCCGACCCGAGGUCGAUGCACAUAGUCGGCCACAGCUUGGGUGCACACGUUGCCGGUUACGCGGGCGCCAACACCACCAACCUCGGAAGAAUCACGGCCCUGGAUCCUGCCGAGCCGAACUUCCAGAAGAUGCCUCCCGAAGUACGACUGGACCCCACGGACGCCGAGUUCGUGGACGCCAUCCACACAGAUUCUCAUCCGUAUCUCACCAAGUUGUGGCGCAGCGAAGGCAUGGGAAUGUGGGACCCCGUCGGCCACGUGGACUUCUACCCUAACGGCGGCGAGUACAUGCCAGGCUGCGACACCGUGAACCGAGUCUGGAAGAUAUUCUCUGAUGGCCUCAUCAAAGGUGUCCGCGCCGUCCUCAGCUGCAACCACCAGCGCGCCGUCAAGUACAUGCUGGAGUCGAUCUCGAACCGGGACUGCCUGCCGCUCGCCUACGAGUGCCCUUCCUUCGAGGCGUACGAAUCGGGACAAUGCUCCGAUUGCGGCGCGGAUGGCUCAAAGUGCGCAACCAUGGGUGAGCGCGCUGUGGAGUGGAAACACUUCAAGAAGAACGAGCCGACACGAAUGUUCACCGUCACCAACGCUCACAGCAAGUUCUGCGGUAAGUGAACUCCCACUUUACGCUAACUACUGGCAAAAAAGUACAAUAUGGCAACGGCAGGGGUGUCGUUCUCCUGCGAGAAGAAGGCCAAGACGCAAGCAUCAAUGUCAACGAAGCGCCAAUCGAUUUCCAUCCACAACGAAACUACACAUUCUUGGUUUCGUCGUCAACUCCGAUAACCGAACACAGUAGGCUGUUCAUGGAAUACAGGACGACCCAAUUACUGUUCACCUACAACAUUCCCAUGAUUCAAGUCUCCUUUCGACCGAUGACGUCACCAUUUACGGAAAGCGAAGCUUUAGAGAAAACAUUUCACAAGUGCUCGGCGUGGAACCCUGCAGGAAUCUCAACACACGUCCCGGUGGCAUUAAAGGAUUGCUAGACGUCAA
rnacentral:misc_RNA from 1 species